UGUAGGAGUGAGCCUGCUCGCGAUAGCGGUGUGUCAGACACCCUCAAUGUCGACUGACACACCGCUAUCGCGAGCAGGCUCACUCCUACA
rnacentral:misc_RNA from 1 species